AGAGUUUGAUCCUGGCUCAGGACGAACGCUGGCGGCGCGCCUAACACAUGCAAGUCGAACGAGCGAGAGAGAGCUUGCUUUCUCGAGCGAGUGGCGAACGGGUGAGUAACGCGUGAGGAACCUGCCUCAAAGAGGGGGACAACAGUUGGAAACGACUGCUAAUACCGCAUAAGCCCACGACCCGGCAUCGGGUAGAGGGAAAAGGAGCAAUCCGCUUUGAGAUGGCCUCGCGUCCGAUUAGCUAGUUGGUGAGGUAACGGCCCACCAAGGCGACGAUCGGUAGCCGGACUGAGAGGUUGAACGGCCACAUUGGGACUGAGACACGGCCCAGACUCCUACGGGAGGCAGCAGUGGGGAAUAUUGCACAAUGGGGGAAACCCUGAUGCAGCGACGCCGCGUGGAGGAAGAAGGUCUUCGGAUUGUAAACUCCUGUUGUUGAGGAAGAUAAUGACGGUACUCAACAAGGAAGUGACGGCUAACUACGUGCCAGCAGCCGCGGUAAAACGUAGGUCACAAGCGUUGUCCGGAAUUACUGGGUGUAAAGGGAGCGCAGGCGGGAAGACAAGUUGGAAGUGAAAUCCAUGGGCUCAACCCAUGAACUGCUUUCAAAACUGUUUUUCUUGAGUAGUGCAGAGGUAGGCGGAAUUCCCGGUGUAGCGGUGGAAUGCGUAGAUAUCGGGAGGAACACCAGUGGCGAAGGCGGCCUACUGGGCACCAACUGACGCUGAGGCUCGAAAGUGUGGGUAGCAAACAGGAUUAGAUACCCUGGUAGUCCACACCGUAAACGAUGAUUACUAGGUGUUGGAGGAUUGACCCCUUCAGUGCCGCAGUUAACACAAUAAGUAAUCCACCUGGGGAGUACGACCGCAAGGUUGAAACUCAAAGGAAUUGACGGGGGCCCGCACAAGCAGUGGAGUAUGUGGUUUAAUUCGAAGCAACGCGAAGAACCUUACCAGGUCUUGACAUCCCGA
rnacentral:rRNA from 1 species